AUUGAACGCUGGCGGCAUGCUUUACACAUGCAAGUCGAACGGCAGCGCGGGCUUCGGCCUGGCGGCGAGUGGCGAACGGGUGAGUAAUGCAUCGGAACGUGCCCAGUAGUGGGGGAUAGCCCGGCGAAAGCCGGAUUAAUACCGCAUACGACCUGAGGGUGAAAGCGGGGGACCGAAAGGCCUCGCGCUCUUGGAGCGGCCGAUGUCGGAUUAGCUAGUUGGUGGGGUAAAGGCUUACCAAGGCGACGAUCCGUAGCUGGUCUGAGAGGACGACCAGCCACACUGGGACUGAGACACGGCCCAGGCUCCUACGGGAGGCAGCAGUGGGGAAUUUUGGACAAUGGGGGCAACCCUGAUCCAGCCAUGCCGCGUGCGGGAAGAAGGCCUUCGGGUUGUAAACCGCUUUUGUUCGGGAAGAAAUCCUCUGGGCUAAUACCCCGGGGGGAUGACGGUACCGGAAGAAUAAGCACCGGCUAACUACGUG
rnacentral:rRNA from 1 species